rnacentral:rRNA from 1 species
UACGUAGGGUGCGAGCGUUAAUCGGAAUUACUGGGCGUAAAGCGUGCGCAGGCGGUUUUGUAAGCCAGAUGUGAAAUCCCCGGGCUUAACCUGGGAAUGGCAUUUGGGACUGCAAGGCUCGAGUUUGGCAGAGGAGACUGGAAUUCCUGGUGUAGCAGUGAAAUGCGUAGAUAUCAGGAGGAAUACCGAUGGCGAAGGCAGGUCUCUGGGCUAUAACUGACGCUCAUGCACGAAAGCGUGGGGAGCAAACAGG